rnacentral:misc_RNA from 1 species
GAUGAAGAACGUAGCGAGAUGCGAUACUUGGUGUGAAUUGCAGAAUCCCGUGAACCAUCGAGUCUUUGAACGCAAGUUGCGCCCGAAGCCAUCAGGUUGAGGGCACGUCUGCCUGGGCGUCACAUAUCGUUGCCCAAUGCCUAUUGCAGUGCAAUAGGAAUUUCUAGGGCGAAUGAUGGCUUCCCGUGAGCGUUGUUGCCUCGCGGUUGGUUGAAAAUCGAGUCCUUGGUAGGGUGUGCCAUGGUAGAUGGUGGUCGAGUUAGAACGAUACCGAUCAUGUGCAUGCUCCCCAAAAUAUGGCCUCUAUGACCCACACGCGUCUUUUGACGCUCAUGACGAGACCUCAGGUCAGGCGGGGCUACCCGCUGAAUUUAAGCAUAUCAAUAAGCGGAGGA